UAAUUAUCUUCUCUUUAAAAUCUCCUAUAUCAAACCCUUAUUGUUUCAAUCUUUAUGUUCUGUUUGCGGAUUUUUAGGGUUUUGUCAUUAUUAUAAGUAUAAAUUUACAUGCAAAUCAUUUAUAUUAUGUUUAUGAUGAUGGGUGUUAAACUCUUUACCAUAUGUGGUGGCCUUAUUGCUUAAUAAAGCUUGUCUUUGUAAUUUGUCUGUGUUUAUCGUUUUAGUUUUAUAAAAGGUAAGGUAAGCAACUUUGGAACUUGAAGCUGAAAAAAUUGGAGUUUGACGCUAUAUAUGUUGAUUCUAAGUGCUGUGCAUUUACUGAUUUAUUAUUUCUGAUGUAAUGUGCUGUUUUUUGAAAUGAAUGUGCACAAAAUUCAUUUAUAUCAGGCACAUGCAAGUAUCGCAAUAGAUGUUUUGAAAUAUGUAUGUGUUUAUGCGUGUUUUUAGCUGUUCAUGGACAUAUGGCAAUAGUGAUAAAAGAGAGCAUGACGGAGCUGUGCAGUGCAGCAUAACAGGGAGGUACUCGAAUUCUGAUAGUUUUUAAGGUUAAAUGAAGUGAUGAACCAAAAAUGUAGCUCGGCUUGUUUGUUGUCAUUAGAUGGUGCAACAGGUGCUACAUUUUUGGUCAUAGGGUUUAGUUCAGUCUCGUUUAAAUGACUACUUUCUGGUGUCCUGGAGAAGGUUUUGCUUUCAAUAGGCCCUCAAAAUUUGUGAUGAAUUAUGCUGAUUGUGAACUCCUAUAUAGGAAAUCAUCAGUUAAGGUUUGUUUUCAAAGCCUAGAUUACCGACCGAGUUGUUGUUAAGGAAAGAUUCUGGGUUUGAACUUAUCCCUGAUUUCAGCUGUAGGUUUUAUAAGAGAUUCUUAUGUGAAUAUAGUCAGUCAGGCAACCGAUUUUUUCUUGUAUUUGAUAAACCCACCUCUUUUUAAUUAUAUGGGAAAUCGAUUGUCCACAAUGUGUGGGGAUGAUUGAGUUGUAUUGAUGCAGUUUUAUAUGAAAAUACGUAGAGAACUAGAUUUUAGGAAAAUAUAUAAACUUUUCUUGAAAAAACAAGAGUAUAAUGAUUAUGCUAGCAUCAUUUUCUGUUUGUAUUGCUGUAUUUGCAUUCUAUCUGCUAUUGCACCAUGCACAUUUCUCUAACUCCCUAUCUAUGUCUUUCCAAUUUUAUGCACAUUUGAUUGCUAGUAUAAACAAAACAUAAGUGCUACUUACGAUGGCAUUGUUAAGCAGGAUGCCACUUCCAUGAAAGCCUUACUUUACCAGCAUCAGUCAUCUUCAUUCUCCUUCCAGCAAAUUAGCAUGGUGAUGCAUCGUCUAAUUAUGUAUAGCCUUGCUCUGGUCCCCUUCAAUCCCUGUCAACAAGGAAGCUGGUCUUUUGUCAUCAGCUUCCCUGGUUUAACAUCCAGGUUUUCAGGGUAUUUGUCUCAUCUAUUACCCAUAUCAGUAAUACUCUUCCUGGUUUUGUUGCCUAAAAGACAAAUGAAUCACUUGGCCUUCUAGACAGAUUCAGUUAUUAUUGUCUGUUUGCAGUCUUUUUCAAUACCUUACCUCUAAAUUUUGUGAUGCUUCAAUUGAAGCAGUCAUUUGUGGUGAGUAUAGCCUAUAUGGCAAGAAUGAAGACCUGUCAUUGUGACAUUUUUCAAUGAUUUUAUUUAUUCAGGGGUACUAAUUUAAACGGUCAGCUUCAAUAACUUGUGAAAUGGCCGUACAUUGUACAACCUGGUUUUGAAGCAUGUCAUCAUUAUAAUUGUCUUUUCAAAGUUUAAGUUGGUGAUGAUUUCUAGACUUGAAUUCUGCUAAAGUUUGUUUCCUGGUGUUCUUUAGUAUAUAUGAGCUGUGUUUUACAAUUAUUACCUAGAUUUCCUUUAUUGUAAUUCGGUUACUGUAGUAAUGCAUAUAUUUUGCAGAAAGUUCAAAUAGGGGCUACAUGUCUGCCAAAUUUCAGGGAAGCAAGCUAGUUUAGCAUUUUCCUUUACAUAAAGACGUUAGUGGGCUGGACCUUUUUGGCACAGGCUAUUCAUUGGCACUUGGUUAGGGUUAGGUAGUGGUGUAAACGAGCCGAGCCGAGCUUGAUUUAUACCAAGCUCGAGAUCAAAUGACAUGUAUGCUAUCGGGUUUGAGCUCAAGCUUGAACCAAGCUUGCCUUGAGUUUAAUAAAGAAUUAAAACAAUUAUUAAAAAA